CAAAAAAGUAGGGAAGUGUGUGAGCCAUGAAUCAAGAAAAGCCGCUAUUGUUUUUAAGAUACCCGUACCGUAAACCGACACAGGUGGAUGAGGAGAGAAUCCUAAGGCCGGCGGAAGAAGCAUUGUUAAGGAACUCGGCAAAAUGACCCCGUAACUUCGGGAGAAGGGGUGCCAACGAGAGUUGGCCGCAGAGAAUAGGCUCAAGCAACUGUUUAGCAAAAACACAGGUCUAUGCAAAACCGUAAGGUGAGGUAUAUGGGCUGACGCCUGCCCGGUGCUGGAAGGUUAAGAGGAGAGGUUAGCGCAAGCGAAGCUUUGAAUUUAAGCCCCAGUAAACGGCGGCCGUAACGAUAACGGUCCUAAACUAGCGAAAUUCCUUGUCGGGUAAGUUCCGACCCGCACGAAAGGCGUAAUGAUUUGAGCGCUGUCUCGACAAUGCAUCCGGUGAAAUUGAAGUACCAGUGAAGAUGCUGGUUACCCGCGCCAGGACGGAAAGACCCCAUGGAGCUUUACUCCAGUUUGGUACUGGGGUCCGGCAGUGCAUGUACAGGAUAGGUGGGAGGCUGUGAACCUGGAACGCCAGUUUCAGGAGAGCCAUUGUUGGGAUGCCACCCUUGUGCUGCUGGGCUUCUAACCAGCGGCCUUUAUCAGGCCGGGGGACAAUGCCAGACGGGGAGUUUGACUGGGGCGGUCGCCUCCGAAAGGGUAUCGGAGGCGCUCAAAGGUUCCCUCAGAAUGGUCGGAAACCAUUCGAAGAGUGCAAAGGCAGAAGGGAGCUUGACUGCGACACCGACGGGUGGAGCAGGUACGAAAGUAGGACUUAGUGAUCCGGUGGUAUUAAGUGGGAAUGCCAUCGCUCAACGGAUAAAAGCUACCCUGGGAUAACAGGCUUAUCACUCCCAAGAGUUCACAUCGACGGAGUGGUUUGGCACCUCGAUGUCGGCUCAUCGCAUCCUGGGGCUGUAGUAGGUCCCAAGGGUUGGGCUGUUCGCCCAUUAAAGCGGUACGCGAGCUGGGUUCAGAACGUCGUGAGACAGUUCGGUCCCUAUCCGGCGUGGGCGUAGGUUAUUUGAGAGGAGCUGUCCUUAGUACGAGAGGACCGGGAUGGACUGACCUCUGGUGUACCGGUUGAACCGCCAGGUUCACGGCCGGGUAGCCAAGUCGGGAAGGGAUAAACGCUGAAGGCAUCUAAGCGUGAAGCCCCCCUCAAGAUGAGAUAUCCCAUUCGAAAGAAGUAAGACCCCUUGAAGACGACGAGGUAGAUAGGACAG
rnacentral:rRNA from 1 species